rnacentral:tRNA from 1 species
CCUGGUGGCUCAGAGGGUAAAGCGUCUGCCUGCAGUGCAGGAGACCUGGGUUCGAUCCCUGGGUCAGGA